rnacentral:tRNA from 1 species
GCGAGAGUGGCGGAAUUGGCAGACGCGCUGGACUUAGGAUCCAGUGGUUUUUACCGUAGGGGUUCAAAUCCCCUCUCUCGCACCA